CAUCAGGCUGGGCAUGGUGGCUCAUGCUUGUAAUCCCAGCACUUUGGGAGGCUGAGGCAGGCAAAUCACCUGAAGUCUGAAGUUCAAGACCAGCCUGGCCAACAUGGUGAAACUCUGACUCUACCAAAAAUACAAAAAUUAGCUGGGCAGUAGUGGCGUGUACCUGUAGUCUCAGCUACUCGGGAGGCUGAGGCAGGAGAAUCACUUCAAUCUGGGAGGCGGAGGUUGCAGUGGACCCCAUCACUGCACUCCACCCUGGGUGACAGAGCGAGACUCUGUCAAAAACAACAACAACAACAACAACAAAAACAACAACAACAGAAACUCCUGGCAUCAAGACAUCUUCCUGUCUUAGCCUCCCAAUGCCCUGGGAUUAUACUCUUUCCUAUAAUUGAAGACACUUGUUCUUACACUGCUUUAAGGUAUAAAGGAAAAAAAAAAACAGAUAAUGGCAAAUGUUGGUGAAGCCCCAGCAAUAGCGUCCCAGGGCUUACACAAUCUGUACCGAUCCCAGCCCAGCAACUCCCUGGCCUCCUCACUGACUUUGCUCCCUCUAUCUCUUUGCUCCACUGGCCUCCUUCCAGAGCCUCAGACACACCAGAGAGUUUCCUCCUUUAUCCAACAGGAUAAAGAUCCUGUUGACUCAGCAUACAAUGCUCUUCCCUCAGCACCUUGGCCAGCUCCAUCACCUGCUUCAAACUUUUGCUCAAUAUUCACUUAUGAGGCCAACCCUGACCACUCUACUUAACAUUGCCAUCUGUCCCCAUUCCCACCAUGCUCAUUUCUUUCUUUCUUUUUGAAACAAGGUCUUGCUUUAUUGCCCAGGCUGGAGUACACUGGUGCAAUCACAGCUCACAGCAACUUCAACCUCCCAGGCUUAAACAAUCCUCCCGCCUCAGCCUCCCUAGGAACUGAGACUACAGCUGCAUGCCACAACACCUGGUUUUUUUUUUUUUUUUUUUUUUUUUUUGAGACGGAGUCUUGGUCACCCAGGCUGAAGUGUAAGGGUGUGAUCUUGGCUCACUGCAAUGUCUGCCUUUUGGGUUCAAGUGAUUCUCUGCCUCAGCCUCCCGAGUAGCUGGGAUUACAGGUACCCACCACCACACCUGGCUAAUGUUUGUAUUUUUAGUAGAGAUGGAGUUUCACCAUCUUGGCUAGGCUGGUCUUGAACUUCUGACCUCGUGAUCCACCCUCCUCGGCCUCCCAAAGUGCUGGGAUUACGAAUGUGAGCCACUGCACCUGGCCUUUAAAAAAAAUUUUUUUUAGACAUGAGGUCUCAUUAUGUUGCCCAGGCUGGUCUUAAACUCCUGGGCUUAAGCGAUCCUCCUACCUCAGCCUCCUAAAGUUCUGGGAUUACAGGCGUGAGCAACUGUAACAUGAGGUCCCAGUUUCAUGUUCAUUUUUUGUUGUUGCUACAACAAAGUACCCUACAUUUAGUGGCUUCAAACACCACAAAUCUACCAUCUUACAGUUCUGGGGGCCAGAAGCCCAACUAGGUCUAUUAAGGCUAAAGUCAAGGUGUCAGAGGGGCUGCAUUCCUUCUGGGGGAGGCUCUAGACAGAAUGUGCUCCUUUGCCUUUUCUAGCUUCUAGAAGCCACCCCCAUUCCUUGACUUACCUCGUGAUUCCAUAUUCAAGGCCAGAAGUGCAGCAUCUUCAAAUCUCCCUCUCUGACCUCUUCUUCCAUUACCACAUCACUUUCUCUAAUUCUGACUCUCCUACCUCCUUCUCUUAUAAGAUCCUUGUGAUUGGUGGGUAUGGGGGCUCCCAUCUGUAAUCCCAACAUUUUGGGAGGCCAAAGAGGAAGGAUUGCUUGAGGCCAAGAGUUAGAGAUCAGCCUGGGGAAAAUAGGAAGACCCUGCCUUUACAAAAUUAAAAUUAAAAUCAGCUGGACAUGGUGAUGCACGCCUGUAGUUCCAGCUACUGGAGAGGCUAAGGUGGGAGGAUCGCUUUAGCCUAGGAGGUCAUGGCUGCAGUGAGCUAUGAUCACAUCACUGCACUCCAGCCUCAGUGGCAGAGUGAGACUCUGUCUCAAAUAUAAGAAAAGAAAUAUACAUUUGGUCUCUGCCCCUGGUUCCUGGCAUAAAGCUUCCAAAGCUCUUAUAAAGCCCUUCGUGACAGAGGUAAUAGGAGCAUUUUCUGUUUUGAUAGUUAGUCUUAGUCCCAGGUUCCUGACACAAGGGCCUCUAAGGUCUUUCAGAUCUGCAGCAUGGUAAGAAUGCAUGUGGGAUGCUGUUGAGCUAACAGGGUGGCUGCAAGCUCCUAGACUGCUUCAGGAGGAGGGCUAGCUGCCAGAGAAAGCAACCACUUUUUUUUAAAGCAACCGUUUUUUUUUUUAAACGGAGUCUGGCUCUUAUAGCCCAGGCUGGAGUGCAAUGGCACAAUCUCAGCUCACUGCAACCUCCACCUCCCGGGUUCAAGCAAUUCUCCUGCCUCAGCCUCCCGAGUAGCUGGAAUUACAGGGAUGUGCCACAACGCCUAGCUAAUUGUUGUUAUUUUUAGUAGAAACGGGGUUUCACCAUGUUGGUCAGGCUGGUCUCAAACUCCUGACCUCAAGUAGUCCAUGUGCGUCAGCCUUCCAAACUGCUAGGAUUACAGGAGUGAGCCACCACACCUGGCCCCAACUACAUUUUUUGAGGCUUGGAACUUUCAGCCUCACCUGCUGAACUCCAAGAGGCAAAAGGAACUGGAGAUUGACUUAACUACCAAUGGCCAAUGAUUUUAUCAAUCAUGCUUCCAUAAAAACCCAAACAGCAGGGUUUGGAGAGCUUCUGUGUUGCUAAACAUAAGGAGGUCCUGGGAGGGUAGUGUGCCCAACAGAGGGCAUGGAAGCUCUGUGCCCUUCCCCACUUACCUUGUCCUGUGCAUCUCUUUCAUUGGCUGUUCCUGAGAUGGAGCCAUUACAUUGAGCCAGUAAUAGAAAAUAAGGUGGCCAGAUGCGCUGGCUCAUGACUGUAAUCCCAGCACUUUGGGAGGCAGAGGUGGGCGGAAUCACUUGAGCCUAGGAAUUUGAGACCAGCCUGGGCAACAUAAGAAGACCCCAUCUAUACAAAAAAUAAAAGAAAUUAGCCAGAUGUGGUGGUGGGAACCCUGUAAUUUCAGCUACUUGAGAGGCUGAAGCAGGAGAAUCACUUGAGCCCUGGAGGUUGAGGCUUCAAUGAGCUAUGAUUGCACCACUGCACACCAGCCUGGACAACAGAGCGAGGCCCUGUCUCUUAAAAAGAAAAGAAAAAAACCUGUUUUUCUAAGUUCUGUGAGUUGUUCUAGUAAAUAACUAAACUCAAGAAGAGGGUCAUGGGAAACCCUGAUUUCUAACUGGUUGGUCAAAAUACAGGUGACAACCUAGGACUUGCAACUGGCAUCUGAAGUGAGGGUGGUCUUGCGGGACUGAGCCCCUAACCUGUGGGUUCUGCGCUAACUCUAGGCAGUGUCAGAAUGGAAUUGUGGGAUAUGCGGUUGGUAUCCAGAGAGUUGGAGAAUUGGUGUAGAAACUCCGCACACACAUUUGGUCAGAAGUCUGUGAGUAGAGAGAAACGUGUUGCGGGAAGUCAGGGACCCUGAACAGAGGGACCGGCUGAAGCCACAGCAGAAGAACAUAAAUUGUGAAGAUUUCAUGGACAUUUAUUAGUUCCCCAAAUUAAUACUUCUAUAAUUUCUUAUGCCUGUCUUUACUGCAAUCUCUGAACAUAAAUUGUGAAGAUUUCAUGGACACUUAUCACUUCCCCAAUCAAUACCCCUGUGAUUUCCUAUGCCUGUCUUUAAUCUCUUAAUCCGGUCAUCUUCGUAAGCCGAGGAUGAAUGUCCCCCCAGGACUCUGUGAUAAUUGCGUUAACUGCACAAGUUGUUUAAACAAUAUGAAACCUGGGCACCUUGAAAAAAGAACAGGGUAACAGCAAUUUCAGGGAACAAGGGAGAUAACCUUAAACUCUGGCUGCCUGUGGGCCGGGUGGAACAGAGCCAUAUUUCUCUUCUUUCAAAAGCAAAUAGGAGAAAUAUUGCUGAAUUCUUUUUCUCAGCAAAGAACAUCCCUGAGAAAGAGAAUGCACCCCUAAGGGGAGGCCUCUGAAAUGGCCGCUUUGGGGACGGCUGUCUUUUAUAGUCAUAGAUAAGGGAUGAAAUAAGCCCUGGGCUCGCGUGGCGCUCCCAGGCUUAUCAGGACGAGGAAAUUCCCGCCUAAUAAAUUUUGGUCAGAUGGGUUGUCUGCUCUCAACCCCUUUCUCCUGAUAAGAUGUUAUCAAUGACAAUGCGUGCCCGAAACUUCAUUAGCAAUUUUAAUUUCGCCCUGGUCCUGUGGUCCUGUGAUCUUGCCCUGCCUCCAUUUGCCUUGUGAUAUUUUAUUACCUUGUGAAGCAUGUGAUCUCUGUGACCCACACCCUAUUCGUACACUCCCUCCCCUUUUGAAAAUCACUAAUAAAAACUUGUUGGUUUUGCGGCUUGGGGGGCAUCACGGAACCUGCUGACAUGUGAUGUCUCCCCUGGACACCCAGUUUUAAAAUUUCUCUCUUUUGUACUCUUUCCUUUUAUUUCUCAGACCGGCCGACACUCAGGGAAAAUAGAAAAGAACCUACAUGAAAUAUUGGGGUGAAUUUCCCCCGAUAUCACAUGGGCUCUUCUCUCACCUGUCUACCUGCUUAACUGCAUAGGAGAGGCAAUGCAUGGUGCUCAUUAACACAGCAAGCAUUAAAGUCAGACCAGACUAACAUUUGACUCAGUCUUAAUAUUCAGGUGAGCUUGGGCAAAUCGCUCAUUAACCCCAAGUCUUCAUCAUUUUGUGCAUAUAAUGGGGAUAACUGUGGCACCCACCUGUUUUUGUGAGAAUCAAUGAAAUAUUAUGCUUGAUGUUACUGUGAUCAUGAUACUAUCUGACAAGGGCAGUGAUGCAUGAUAACAUCAAAAAAUUAGGAACUGUAAUGAGGUCUCUUGGGCAAAAUUCCAUACAAGCAAAUGACCGUCUCUCCAAAGCAUUCCUGCCACACUUAAUUCACCAUUCCCUGAACAAAAUGUGCCAUCUUCAUUGUUCAGGUCUGUAUAGUGCUGGUUUACCUGACUGGGCAGCUCACUCCAUCCCAUCCCAGCCCAAUCCCCAUCCCUCCACCUCCCCCUUCCCUCCCCACUCUCAUACAACUCUUCCUCAUCUUAC
rnacentral:lncRNA from 1 species